UUGAACACUACUACUAAAAAUAUUAAAAAUAUGUUUGUAGCCUGCAAUUACUAGAAAACUCUAUUUUAGAUGCAAGCAGAAAUGAAACAACAGGCUUCUAGGGGGAUUUUCUUAAUAAUGCUGCAUGCUUCUAAUAUCAUAUCCUAAAGCCAGGAAAAGCAUUAUGUUCUCUUUAAAUAUUGUAAAAAUGAAAAACUUUCCAAUCUUUAAAUUCACACGUGGCUCUCAAAAUCCCAAACAAAUUCUUUAUUAUGAAGCAUUAAAUUCAGAUACAAGCAUAUUUGUAGGGAUUCUUGGAAGUAAGAUUUUUUUUUCAUAAUUGAAAAUUAUCAAGUGUUUUCAACUUACUUUACCAUCUGUCCUUCUGGUUUUGACCUACUCUGUUGGUCAUUUGGGCUCUGUUGAGAAUCUUCCAGAAGGCAUCAUCAUCCUACCAGAUGGGGGUCAGCUUGAAAAUCCCAAUUGCAGCUGUGUUCAAACAGACCAUGGCAGACACUGUUGACAAGUCCCCUCUUUUACAAAUUUCAUGGCAUUCUGAUGACUCUGACUGCAGCUGCUCUUUGGCUUAUACUUUCAAGAAAGAUAUGUCUCACAUCUUUAUAACAUAAUAUUAUUGUUAUAGUCUUCUACAUACUAUCAAACAGGCAUUUUCAUUUCUACACUGAUGGCUUUCAAAGUUUUUGUUUUCUAAGCAUGUGCAUCUUAUUCAUUUUAUAAUAUUUUAUAGUUGUCAUUUAACAAAACACACCAAAGAAAAUUACGUUUUCAUUUCUAUGUGUAAUUCAAAGCUGAGAGUAUGAAUCUCAGUUCAAAAUUCUCAUUUGGUUACAUAUAUUUGAUUAAUUUUUAAAGAUGGAAUUUCUCUGGUUUGAAAAAUUGAUGCCAAAAACUAAAGUAUACAAUUUCAUAAUCACAUAAUUGUGAUAAUAGACACAUUUUAAUGGAAUGUUUUAUAGUUAUCUAGAACUACAUUAAGCAUAUAGUUAGGCUAUAGUUGUCACAUUAUUUCUAACUUAGUUACAAAAACAAGAUAACAAUGAAACAAAGGAAAAUAACAUGAAGAAGCAUAUGCUAUGUCAUAAAUUAUGUGAUAUAAUGAGUGAAGUAACAAUGCUGAGAAAGUUUGAUGAUGUAAAUUCUAAAAAAAUUAUUUCAUAUAUGUAUUUUAUUGAAUCCCAUCAUAUCUGCUCCAUUAUAUUAUUUGAGGUUUAAUUGUUGUCUUUCUUGAAGAUUUUCAUAUUCUUAGGAUGGGACAUUUUAUUUUCAUCAUCAUAAAUAUUGCAAAUGAUCUGGUAAGAGCUGAAUGACAAUCCUGCAGAAGACAAUGGCUGAAUGUAGCUGUGGAAAUCAGUAUCAAAGACAAGAAAAGGAAUAGGAGUAAGGAGAGAGCCCCAAAUCUUAAAACAUAAAACCAUGUAUGUGUCCCUCAUAGACGGAUCUGAGAUCAACUCCUCCAUUUGUUGCCUCUUGCUGGAAGGCAGCCCUUUUGAGUGGGGCCUUUUCAAGACAUUUCCAACUUGAGUACUUUGCAGAAGACCCCAAUAACCCUCAUGAAACGGACCCUUGCCCCAUGUUGGUCAUCCCAUAUUGAUCCUCCCACCUCUGUUUUUACAGGGAGCUGAAGCUCUUCUGACACCUUUCUUUAAAAUAUACUGGUCACUUAA